rnacentral:rRNA from 1 species
GGACGAACGCUGGCGGCGUGCCUAAUACAUGCAAGUCGAGCGGGGAGCUUCGGCUCCUAGCGGCGAACGGGUGAGUAACACGUGGGCAACCUGCCCGCAAGCUCGGGAUAACUUCGGGAAACCGGAGCUAAUACCGGAUACGCUUUUCCUCCGCAUGGAGGAAAAGGGAAAGACUUCGGUCGCUUGCGGAUGGGCCCGCGGCGCAUUAGCUAGUUGGUGAGGUAACGGCUCACCAAGGCRACGAUGCGUAGCCGACCUGAGAGGGUGACCGGCCACACUGGGACUGAGACACGGCCCAGACUCCUACGGGAGGCAGCAGUAGGGAAUUUUCCGCAAUGGGCGAAAGCCUGACGGAGCAACGCCGCGUGAGUGAUGACGGCCUUCGGGUUGUAAAACUCUGUUCUGAAGGAAGAAGUCCUGACGGUACUUCAGGAGAAAGCCCCGGCUAACUAC